CUGGGAUCCUGUCUGUGCGGUAGACCUGGGAUCCUGCUCGGUGUGGUAGACCUGGGAUCCUGCUCUGUGUGGUAAACCUGGGAUCCUGCUUGGUGCGGU